AUACGUAGGUGACAAGCGUUAUCCGGAUUUACUGGGUGUAAAGGGCGUGUAGGCGGUUUGGCAAGUCAGAAGUGAAAUUCCCGGGCUUAACUUGGGCGCUGCUUCUGAAACUGCUUAACUUGAGUGCUGGAGAGGAUAGUGGAAUUCCUAGUGUAGCGGUAAAAUGCGCAGAUAUUAGGAAGAACACCGGUGGCGAAGGGGGCUAUCUGGACAGUAACUGACGCUGAGGCGCGAAAGCGUGGGGAGCAAACAGGAUUAGAUCCCCUGGUAGUCCACGCCGUAAACGAUGAAUACUAGGUGUAGGGGGUAUCGACUCCCUCUGUGCCGCAGUUAACACGAUAAGUAUUCCGCCUGGGGAGUACGGCCGCAAGGUUGAAACUCAAAUGAAUUGACGGGG
rnacentral:rRNA from 1 species